CUGAGAGGGUGAACGGCCACAUUGGGACUGAGACACGGCCCAAACUCCUACGGGAGGCAGCAGUGGGGAAUAUUGCACAAUGGGGGAAACCCUGAUGCAGCGACGCCGCGUGAGCGAUGAAGUAUUUCGGUAUGUAAAGCUCUAUCAGCAGGGAAGAAAAUGACGGUACCUGACUAAGAAGCCCCGGCUAACUACGUGCCAGCAGC
rnacentral:rRNA from 1 species